rnacentral:rRNA from 1 species
CCUACGGGUGGCAGCAGUGGGGAAUAUUGCGCAAUGGGCGAAAGCCUGACGCAGCGACGCCGCGUGAGGGAUGAAGGUCUUCGGAUCGUAAACCUCUGUCAGCAGGGAAGAAAGGUCACUGUGCUAAUCAGCAGUGAAUUGACGGUACCUGCAAAGGACGCACCGGCUAACUCCGUGCAAGCCGCCGCGGCAAUACGGAGGGUGCGGGCGUUAAUCGGAAUUACUGGGCGUAAAGCGCGCGUAGGCGGUAUGUCAAGUCAAGGGUGAAAUCCCCGCGCUCAACGUGGGAACUGCCUUUGAAACUGGCAAGCUGGAGUGUGUGAGAGGAUAGUGGAAUUCCAGGUGUAGGAGUGAAAUCCGUAGAUAUCUGGAGGAACAUCAGUGGCGAAGGCGACUAUCUGGCACAUAACUGACGCUGAGGAGCGAAAGCGUGGGUAGCAAACAGGAUUAGAUACCCUUGUAGUC